rfam:Ictidomys tridecemlineatus contig086378, whole genome shotgun sequence.
GGUGGUAUAGCUCAGUGGUAGAGCACUUGUCCAGCAUGCGAGAGACCCUGGGUUUAAUCCCCAGCACACCA